AUGAGUGUAUUCCGGCUGCCGAUGUCUGUACUGGAUGAUCUUACAUGAUUAAUGCGGCAAUACUGGUGGGGUGUAGAGAAAGGAAAACGAAAGACGGCUUGGUUAAGUUGGGACAAGAUGAGGCUACCAAAGUCCAUGGGUGGUAUGGGUUUCUGUGACAUGCAAGUCUUUAACCAAGCGCUGCUCGCAAAGCAAGUCUUUAACCAAGCGCUGCUCGCAAAGUUUGUGUGUGGACGAUUAUUACGAGCGAAGUACUAUCCCAAUGGGAAUUUAUUGGACAUAGUAUUUAUAGGAAACUCUUCAGCGGUGUGGAAAGGAACCGAACAUGGUCUGGAACUGGUCAAAAAAGGCAUCAUUUGGCGGGUUGGAGAUGGUUCGUCGAUACGUACUUGGAGGGAUCCUUGGAUUCCUCGAGGCCAUAACUUUCGGCCGGUCACACCGAAAGGGAACUGUUGAUUCAACCAUGUGUCUGAUUUUCUUGAUGAUAAUGGUUGGAUGGUGCAACAUUUGAAUGACCAUUUUUGGCCGUUGGAUGUCCAUGAAAUUCUGAAAAUCCGUACUUCACCGAGACAACGUCAAGAUUUCUUUCCCUGGCAUCCGGAGAAGAACAUGCAUUUUUUCGUGAAAAGUGCGUACUACCUGGUGACGGCCGUGCAUGAUGAACAGUUCGCCGGCGGGGCAUCGAGCACUAGCCUCGACGGGAAUCGAUCCAUUUGGAAUCUUUGGAAUUCGUGUGUUCCUUUACGCAUGAAACAUACGGCUUGGCGAGCUGCGACUGGUGCGUUGACUACUACAGCGUGGAUGCAGUAUAGGCAUCUCACGUCGCGCAAAUUUCUGCCCCCUCUGCAGCAUUGUGUGGAGGAAGAUAGCUACCAUGCAUUGGUUGCAUGCAACCAUGCACGUAGCAUUUGGGAGGCCAUGAGGCGCGUCUGGGCGCUCCCCUGUGACCAGCUCCUUAUUAACAGUGGGAAAGAGUUGUUGCUAAACCUGCUGAUUAAUUGUAAUGAUGCCGAGCGCGACCGUGUUCUUAUGCUUAUAUGGCGCAUCUGCCAAUUACGGAAUGAUCUUACUCAUGAUAAAGAGGUUCCCCCGGUGGCUGCUACGGUGGACUAUUUGGAGAGUUAUAUGAAGUCUAUUGGAGAUGCUAGUAAAUAUAGCACAGAGGAAAUUAUUAAGGGUAAAAUGCCGGUUGUUGGUUGGACUUUGCCUGAAGUAAGAGUGGUCGUGGCUCCUACACUUUGGCUGCCUCCUCCUACUGAUUACGUUGCUCUGUCAGUGGAUAGGUCGGCGGCAGGGUGA
rnacentral:rRNA from 1 species